GUUGUAUGGUUAAGUGACUAAGCGUACACGGUGGAUGCCUUGGCAGUCAGAGGCGAUGAAGGACGUAUUAACUUGCGAUAAGCCCAGAUUAGGCAGUAAAAGCCACUUGAGUCUGGGAUUUCCGAAUGGGGAAACCCACUUACAUAAGUAAGUAUCAUUAACUGAAUACAUAGGUUAAUGAGGCAAACCGGGGGAACUGAAACAUCUAAGUACCCCGAGGAAGAGAAAUCAACCGAGAUUCCGGUAGUAGCGGCGAGCGAAACCGGAUUAGCCCUU
rnacentral:rRNA from 1 species